GCUAAACGCGAAGAACCUUACCCACACUUGACAUGUCUCUUGGGACUUUCAGAGAUGAUUGUCUUCGGUUCGGCCGGGGAGAACACAGGUGCUGCAUGGCUGUCGUCAGCUCGUGUCGUGAGAUGUUGGGUUAAGUCCCGCAACGAGCGCAACCCUCGUCCUCUGUUGCUAACAGGUUAUGCUGAGAACUCUGAGGAAACUGCCCGUGAUAAGCGGGAGGAAGGUGGGGAUGACGUCAAGUCCUCAUGGCCCUUACGUCCUGGGCUACACACGUGUUACAAUGGCGAUGACAAUGCGCUGCUAACCCGCGAGGGUACGCUAAUCGCAAAAAGUCGCCUCAGUUUGGAUUGUACUCUGCAACUCGAGUACAUGAAAUUGGAAUCGCUAGUAAUCGCGCAUCAGCUCGGCGCGGUGAAUACGUUCCCGGGUCUUGUACACACCG
rnacentral:rRNA from 1 species